rnacentral:sRNA from 1 species
AUGCGAGCGGGCGGGGCGUGUCGACCCGGGGCGGCGGGGACAGCGGCGGGCGGCUGGGACGGCGGGUGCGGCGGGGCCGAACCCGAACGAUGCCUCACUUCACCGUGGUGCCGGUGGACGGGCCGCGGCGCGGCGACUAUGACAACCUCGAGGGGCUCAGUUGGGUGGACUACGGGGAGCGCGCCGAGCUGGAUGACUCGGACGGACAUGGCAACCACAGAGAGAGCAGCCCUUUUCUUUCCCCCUUGGAGACUUCCAGAGGAAGUGACUACUAUGACAGGAACCUGGCACUGUUUGAGGUAGCUGAGGAGCCAUUUUGGGCCACAGGUUUGGCACACAGAGGCUUUAGCUAAGCAGGCAGGCUGGACACGUGGGCCUCCUCUGUCUUGCUCUUCCUCUCAUCUCCUCUUGUGUUCCUGGUUCUCAUGGCAGCCGGGCUGCAGUUCCCUUGGCCCUUUCAACUGAAACUGCUUUUCCAGAGGCCACUCACAGUCCCACCCCCAUUGCUACCUCCAGGGUGGUUCACCUCUGACUUCCUUACAACCCCUCAGCAAGGAAACGCCCGCUUAGGAUUUCCCAACUCAGGAUUUCUCCUCUUCCUUCCACUCCUGGUUCUUCUCCAAGUCCAUGGUUCUUCGCUCUCCCAUGGAUUCUUCCUUGUCUUUCUUGGUUGACCCUUCCAGCUCUGUCCCUCUCUAGUUCCCUGAGUCCUGGUCCAUUUGCAGCUUUAGGGGAUAUGUCUCUGGAAAGAUUCCCAAAUAUCUGCCUCUGUACUUGAGUUUUAUCUUCUUCAGACUCAAGCUGAGCAGUGAGAUCUGGAUUUAAGACGUAGUUUAAGCUCCUAAACUCUGACCCAUGCAUUCAGCCACUGCAUGGCUGAGUAAUGGAGACUCCUUAAUCUCCCUUUUUUUUCUCUUUCUUCAUUUUGAGAUGGAGUCUCACUCUGUCGCCCCAGGCUGGAGUGCAGUGACGCGAUCUCAGCUCAUUGCAACCUCUGCCUCCCAAGCUCAGUGAUUCUCCUGCCUCAGCCUCCCGAGUAGCUGGGAUUACAGGUGCCCACCACAUGCCUGGCUAAUUUUUGUGUUUUUAGAGACGGGGUUUCACCGUGUUGGCCAGGCUGGUCUUGAUCUCCUGACUUCUAGUGAUUCUCCUGCUCCGCCUCUCAAAGUGCUGGAAUUACUGCUGUGAGCCACCACAUCUGGCCGAGGCUCCUUAAUCUCCACAUGCCCCCAAGGGCCCUUGUCUUCCUUUCUCACACCAAAGCAACUUCUCCCUGUGUGUAGGUCAGAAGGGAGCUGACAGAGAGGGAAAAGCUAAAUGUGGGCAGGAGGCAGGUAGAAGCACAGCCUCGAGAAGGCUGCAGGAGCAGGGAUCAUCGCCUAGACCCCGGUGGGGCUGGGGGGCCUGAGCUCUGGGAGGCCUCCUGACCUGGGAAAGCAGCAAGGUUCUGCGGUGAAGGCCUUGGCCCAGUCCUGCUUGAGGAUGGGCUGGAGGAUCAGGAUCCCAUCUCCGCGAUUGAUGAAGAGCUGGACAUCCGCCCAAAGGUAUCGUCUCUUCUGGGAAAGCUCGUCAGCUACACCAACCUCACCCAGGGCGCCAAAGAGCAUGAGGAGGCCGAGAGUGGGGAGGGCACCCGCCGGAGGGCAGCCGAGGCACCCAGCAUGGGCACCCUCAUGGGGGUGUACCUGCCCUGCCUGCAGAAUAUCUUUGGGGUUAUCCUCUUCCUGCGGCUGACCUGGAUGGUGGGCACAGCAGGUGUGCUACAGGCCCUCCUCAUCGUGCUUAUCUGCUGCUGUUGUACCCUGCUGACGGCCAUCUCCAUGAGUGCCAUUGCCACCAACGGUGUGGUUCCAGCUGGGGGCUCCUAUUUCAUGAUCUCUCGUUCACUGGGGCCAGAAUUUGGAGGUGCUGUGGGCCUGUGCUUCUACCUGGGAACAACAUUCGCAGCAGCCAUGUACAUCCUGGGGGCCAUCGAGAUCUUGCUGACCUACAUUGCCCCACCAGCUGCCAUUUUUUACCCAUCGGGUGCUCAUGACACGUCGAAUGCCACUUUGAACAAUAUGCGUGUGUAUGGGACCAUUUUCCUGACCUUCAUGACCCUGGUGGUGUUUGUGGGGGUCAAGUAUGUGAACAAAUUUGCCUCGCUCUUCCUGGCCUGUGUGAUCAUCUCCAUCCUCUCCAUCUAUGCUGGGGGCAUAAAGUCUAUAUUUGACCCUCCCGUGUUUCCGGUAUGCAUGCUGGGCAACAGGACCCUGUCCCGGGACCAGUUUGACAUCUGUGCCAAGACAGCUGUAGUGGACAAUGAGACAGUGGCCACCCAGCUAUGGAGUUUCUUCUGCCACAGCCCCAACCUUACGACCGACUCCUGUGACCCCUACUUCAUGCUCAACAAUGUGACCGAGAUCCCUGGCAUCCCCGGGGCAGCUGCUGGUGUGCUCCAGGAAAACCUGUGGAGCGCCUACCUGGAGAAGGGUGACAUUGUGGAGAAGCAUGGGCUGCCCUCCGCAGAUGCCCCAAGCCUGAAGGAGAGCCUGCCUCUGUACGUGGUCGCCGACAUCGCCACAUCCUUCACCGUGCUGGUCGGCAUCUUCUUCCCUUCUGUAACAGGUGAGCCCUGCCUGCCUACCCACCCAGCCCUGUCCCUGAUCCCGGGGAGCCCCUGAGGGAGUCUCAUCUGUUUUUGGAGGCAUCAUGGCUGGCUCAAACCGCUCUGGGGACCUUCGUGACGCCCAGAAGUCUAUCCCUGUGGGGACCAUUCUGGCCAUCAUUACAACUUCCCUCGUGUGUAUCCUUUCCCAGGCCUGGGGCAGGUGGGGCAGAGGACGGGAAGCGCUUGGCCUGUGUACGUCGCCAGGUUGCAUGCACAGACACCCCACACACUCAUAUAUAGCUCCCCUUCUCAUGCACACAUGCACAUACACACCACGAGACUCCCAGCUGUAGGUGUCCUGGUGGUCUGGCUGGGGUGGGGGCACGUGGUACUAUUCAGGGACAGUGGGGUGGCAGAGGCCGAGUUUUCCUUGACGCCGCCGCAGACUUCAGCAGUGUGGUUCUCUUUGGCGCCUGCAUUGAGGGUGUGGUUCUCCGGGACAAGUAUGGCGAUGGUGUCAGCAGGAACUUGGUGGUGGGCACACUGGCCUGGCCUUCACCCUGGGUCAUCGUCAUCGGCUCCUUCUUUUCAACGUGUGGCGCUGGCCUCCAGAGCCUCACAGGGGCACCACGCCUAUUGCAGGCCAUUGCCAAGGACAACAUCAUCCCCUUCCUCCGGGUGUUUGGCCACGGGAAGGUGAAUGGUGAACCCACAUGGGCACUCCUCCUGACGGCACUCAUCGCCGAGCUGGGCAUCCUCAUCGCCUCCCUCGACAUGGUGGCCCCCAUCUUAUCCAUGUUCUUUCUGAUGUGCUACCUGUUCGUGAACCUCGCCUGUGCGGUGCAGACACUCCUGAGGACCCCCAACUGGCGGCCCCGGUUCAAGUACUAUCACUGGGCGCUGUCCUUCCUGGGCAUGAGUCUCUGCCUGGCCCUUAUGUUUGUCUCCUCCUGGUACUAUGCCCUGGUGGCCAUGCUCAUCGCCGGCAUGAUCUACAAAUACAUCGAGUACCAAGGGGCUGAGAAGGAGUGGGGUGACGGGAUCCGAGGCCUGUCCCUGAGCGCUGCCCGCUACGCGCUGUUGCGGCUGGAGGAGGGGCCUCCUCACACCAAGAACUGGCGGCCGC